GGCGCUUAAGGAAGGGUACUGUUAUUACCCUUUCCCUUGGGAAAGAUAACUUUUUUUACCCUUUCCCUUAAGGAAGGGUACUUUUUUACCCUUUCCCUUAGGGAAGGGUACUUUUAUUACCCUUUUCCUUUGAGGAAGGGUACUUUUAUUGCUUUUUUCCUUGGGAAAGGGUUAUUUUAUUACCC